rnacentral:rRNA from 1 species
UGGGGAAUAUUGCACAAUGGAGGGAACUCUGAUGCAGCGACGCCGCGUGAACGAAGAAGGCUUUCGAGUCGUAAAGUUCUUUUAUAUGGGAAGAUAAUGACGGUACCAUAAGAAAAAGCCCCGGCUAACUACGUGCCAGCAGCCGCGGUAAUACGUAGGGGGCUAGCGUUGUCCGGAAUCACUGGGCGUAAAGGGUUCGCAGGCGGAAAUGCAAGUCAGAUGUAAAAGGCAGUAGCUUAACUACUGUAAGCAUUUGAAACUGCAUAUCUUGAGAAGAGUAGAGGUAAGUGGAAUUUUUAGUGUAGCGGUGAAAUGCGUAGAUAUUAAAAAGAAUACCGGUGGCGAAGGCGACUUACAGGGCUCAUUCUGACGCUGAGGAACGAAAGCGUGGGUAGCAAACAGG